rnacentral:rRNA from 1 species
UACGUAGGGCGCAAGCGUUGUCCGGAAUUAUUGGGCGUAAAGGGCUUGUCGCGUCUGCCGUGAAAACUCGAGGCUUAACCUUGGGCGUGCGGUGGGUACGGGCAGGCUAGAGUGCGGUAGGGGAGACUGGAAUUCCUGGUGUAGCGGUGAAAUGCGCAGAUAUCAGGAGGAACACCGAUGGCGAAGGCAGGUCUCUGGGCCGUUACUGACACUGAGAAGCGAAAGCAUGGGGAGCGAACAGG